rnacentral:misc_RNA from 1 species
GUACAAGUAUACCUUGGCGAUGAUGGGCUAUGCAGAUGAAUAUGAGACAACUGUUCUUGAGUUGACUUACAAUUAUGGUGUGACUGAAUAUUCCAAGGGAAAUGCAUAUGCGCAGGUUGCAAUUGGUACUGAUGAUGUCUACAAAAGUGCUGAGGUUGUCAACUUGGUUACCCAAGAGCUUGGUGGGAAAAUAACUCGACAACCUGGACCACUUCCUGGAAUUAACACUAAAAUUACUUCUUUUCUAGACCCAGAUGGCUGGAAAACGGUCCUGGUUGACAAUGAAGACUUUCUCAAGGAACUGCAGAAGGGAGAUUCUGCUUAAUUUAAGCGGGCUGUAGGUGCACUACUUGUAUGAAAUAAGUUGGUGUUAUUUGUAUCUAAAGCA